GUACUACUCCCUCCGUCCGAAAAAACUUGUCCCAAGCUUGUUACUCAAAUGAAUGUAUCUAGCACUAACUUGGUGCUAGGUACAUUCAUUUGAGGGACAAGAUUUUUCGAACGGAGGGAGUAGCUG
rfam:Triticum aestivum genome assembly, contig: Triticum_aestivum_CS42_TGACv1_scaffold_271669_3DS